UGGAAGCAGGAAAGUUCAGACAGAGUUCUCCGGAUUUCACAGAGUAAGAAAGCACAGGCUAAAUAGGGGAAAGGAAACAGUAGACAGGAAAUGUCUUUUGAGGAGGACAACUGACAGGUAUCUGAAUAAUCCAGACACAGAAUCGGUAUGGUGACAUGGAGGCGAAAACAACAGGCUCAACGUCCAAAGCCACAAUCCAAAAGACAGGGCAAAGAUCCAAGUUUCCAUACUUCAAGAUUCAAGUGUUUCAAGAUUCAAGGAUGGGACCCCAGAGAGCCAACAACUGGGGGAAGCUCCACAGAGAAUAUACAUCUGGGCAAAACAUCUCCUCAUGUCAUGAAAAGGAAUCUCUGAGCACCUGUACCACCAGCAAGAUCUGCAUGGGAGGAAACAGGCAGCCCUUUGGAGAGCACAGCUUUCCCUUUAUUCCAGACCUCCUUCCUCCCACCAGAACCUGUACACAGCAGAUACUCAGGACAUUUCUCCUGAUCUCCUGACCAGGAGGACUCCAGGUCAGACAGCUAGACCACUUCCACUUUCUGAAGCUCCUAAAUUAUACAUUCUUAAAUAAAGACAUGUCAAAACAGCA